rnacentral:sRNA from 1 species
GCUGGGUGUGGUGGCUCACACCUGUAAUCCCAGCAUUUUGGGAGGCCGAGGUGGGAGGAUCACUUGAGCUCAGGAGUUCAAGACCAGCCUGGGCAACAUAGUGAGACCUAGUCUCUU